rnacentral:rRNA from 1 species
CAGGAGCCCCUCUCGGCUGCACUGUCUGCUCUCAACCUAUUGAUGCACUUCACUGACUGGCUUUCGUUCUUCCUGCUAGUGAAAUACAGAUUACCUCUUAGACCCCAGAAGAAGAGGAUGUACUAUGAAUACACUGGCCUAUGGCAUAUCUAUGCAAUAUUAUCAAUGAAUGCAUGGAUCUGGAGCUCUUUAUUCCAUACCAGGUGCGCAUUUGCUCAAUCAGAGCUUGGGCAUGCUGCUGUCAUAAUAAUAUAUUGGGUUUGA